GAUGAACGCUAGCGACAGGCUUAACACAUGCAAGUCGAGGGGCAGCGAGGGCGUAGCAAUACGCCUGUCGGCGACCGGCGCACUGGUGAGUAACACGUAUGCGACCUGCCCCCUACAGGGGUAUAACCCGUAGAAAUGCGGACUAAUCCCCCAUAGUCCUGGAGGUUGCAUGGCUUUCAGGGGAAAGGGUUUCCGGUAGGGGAUGGGCAUGCGGCGCAUUAGCUAGUUGGCGGGGCAACGGCCCACCAAGGCGACGAUGCGUAGGGGUUCUGAGAGGAAGGUCCCCCACACUGGUACUGAGACACGGACCAGACUCCUACGGGAGGCAGCAGUGAGGAAUAUUGGUCAAUGGGCGCAGGCCUGAACCAGCCAAGUCGCGUGAGGGAAGACGGUCCUACGGAUUGUAAACCUCUUUUG
rnacentral:rRNA from 1 species